rnacentral:misc_RNA from 1 species
GCUCUCUAAAAACAGUGUCAAUCAGGCACUAAGCCUUGAAAAAAUAAACAAGGGUAAAGCAUCAACACCCUCCUCCCCCUUCUUUUAUCCACCAACUCAACACUCGGUUGCAUUUACAAAGAAUUUUACAUGUGGCUUGCAUAUAGUGUUUUUGUCCUUCCAAAUUAAAUUUGAUCACAUAAAAAAAUUCCAUUCAAAUAUGUUCACAGAUCAUUGUCAAGUAUAAAGAUAUCAGAGAUCAACAUCAAGAAGCCUCUUCGAAAUUCACAGUCAAAUACCUGAACAAUCCAAACUAUGCCCUCUACACAAAUAUCACCAAGAUAUUAUUGAUUGUGAGUUCUCCAAGUAGAUUCAAGAAAAACCAGCUGUAUCCGCUAGAAGGUACAACAGUAUCACAACAAUAACAGCGGAUCAGGCAGCCAAUGAAAGAAGAGUAACAAUUGAUUUUUGUUUUGGUUAACUGAUUUUAAAUAGUGUACUGUUCCUAUAUGUGCAUGUUGUUUUGUAAAAUGUAUAGAAUAAAACAUCAAGGGGCUAAUGAAAAUUGUUACCUCCUUGCUCAUGGUGAUUAUUUACAGGUGGGCGAACAACAGGAAUAUCCAAGCUGCUUCCUUCUGUCUCAGGAGCAACCUCUCUUACAUCAGCUAUUCUCGACUCUGUUGGCUGAAUAUCACUCCAUUCAGCAUCUCCAAUUGGCCGGAGGUUAGUUUGGUCUGCUCCCAUGUGCACAACAUUCUCCCCAGAAUAUGGCAAAAUUCUAGAAACACUAAGACAAGCUUUAUCCACAUUCUCCUCAGACAAGCCCACGUGUUUAGUCAGCAUAGAAGUGCUGCCAACAACAUUUGAAGUCUCGGUCUUCCGAAACACUUCCUUUGUAUCAAUAUGCUGUCUGUUAACAGAAAAUCAAGAUAUAUAACUGUAUCCAUCCUCACAUGUUAGACAUAAUUUCUAAAUCCCUGUGCAGAUCACAAAAUAAGAACUAAAAUAAACAUUAAGCAAGAGUAUUCAGCGUCCCUGUACAAAUCACAUUGAAAGAAGUUCAUAACAGAGUUUUUGAAUCAACUAGUAAUUUUUUCAAGGCAUAAUACAACUCAAACACCAGGCAUAUGAGAAUUCCAAAAUUCUUUGUUAUGUACUGUUGUUUCCCACUCCUUAAAACAACCAGGUAUGACCUAUCCUACGCAUUGUUAAUUCUUUGAUCUCAAAAACAGGUCUUCAGUAAUAAGGAAAACAAAAGGAAGAGGAUUUUGAAAUGCCUGAAAACAUUUUCCCUAUUUUCCAAAAUAGCAAGUGUUUAGGGAGCUGUUGCUAAAACACAAGCAAGACAAAUCUACAGAACUAUUGCAAAAUCUAACCAGCAAGACAAGUUCUCAGCUAAGAAAAGUGCUUUUUGGUUUUAACAACAGGAAAGCGUCCUUCAGGUAACUUGAUCCAUUUCUAAAAUCAGGAAAAAAAUGGAACAUAUAUUUAAUUUCAACUAGUGCUAGCGUACUAACACUAUUAAGGGACAAAACCUUUUAAUUUCUCAUCAAUCAGCACUCAUAAUGGUUGAUUUACUUGAUGAUUCUUUAACUACAAAAUCUACUAACAGAGAAUGCUUCUUUAAUCAUGAGAUCUACAACAGAAGGAAAGUUAGAAGAGUGCAGAAGGGAUUAAAACAUAUGUUGGUUUAAGAGGGUUCAAAUGUUAAACCUUUGAAGUUGUGCCUGUAAUGCAUUCACAUAUGCUAGAAGCUCUUGCUUCUCAUUCAUAGCAGCUGCCUCUUUCUGUGAAGCUUCCUUUAUUCUAGCUUCAGCGUCUGCUUCUGCAACCCUAACCUUCUCCUCUGCUCUCACCACUGCUCCUUCCAAUAUCACAACGCGCUCUCUAGCUUUUGCAAGCUCAGAACGCCAUAAAUGUGCCUCGUGAAGCGCAGAAUCUCUCUGCUUGAUCAGUUCAUCUCUUUCUUUUGUUAGAGUCAUAACCUUCUCUUCAAACUCUUUAAGCUUCAACACGGAUGACUCCAGCUGCUUCUGUGAAGCUUUUGACAACCGCUCAAUUUCAGCACAAGCAAUUCUCCUCUGUUCAUCCAUUGUAUGUGCCGCAGAUGCUGCGGCCUCAGCUGCUUCAGCAGUCUCAGAUAGUUUCUCUGCUAUGUCUCUUAUUGUUGAAUCACGAGCACGAAGGUCCCGGGCCAAAUUCUUCAGUUCUUCAUCCUUAACCUUUAGUGUCUCCUUCAUGAUUGUUAGAUCAUCCAUUGGGCCAUCAAUUAUCCUAUUAUUCACCAUUCCCAAAGCAUUUCUCAAGGAAAUCUGCAUUGCAGCUUCAAUUUCUUUAGAGCAUUCAAGGGCUGUUGAGUUGGCAGCAGCAACCACAGUCGCGAUUGUCCCAAGCUUCGCAGAACCAUUCCCACUCAAGGAAUUCACUGCUUCUUUAUGUGCCUUUAGAACCAACAGGGUUGCAUGUAAAGUUGCAACCCAUGCUCUAGCUGCACCAGGAGUCUCUGCACAAAGGAAGUAGUCUUUUUUUUGUGGAGUACCAAUAUAGAAACAGCACCCUUCGUACUUUGGAAGUCCAUGGAAGUUCACAGGAGAAACCGUUAUUGUGCUAUUUGCAUCAAAGAUGAUAGUUCCCUUCACAGUCGGCUCAUUUCUCCUAGUCUUGUAUUCCAUUUUUCCAGUAGUUGGGUCCAAGAUCACCCAUCGUUCAUUCCAUUUUCUCAGAGUUUCAGAUCGCUUGAGAAGAGGGCCCUGCAACAAAUUCCUACCAGAACCGGACGCCAAUUGCCGCUUGAUCCUCUCCAAGCUGUUCUGUGCGUCCAUUGCUCCCGUAGGCGCAGAUUCACCAUUAGAGGCCAUGAGAUGAUGGAUCACCAAAGCAAAUUCAGAAUCCAAGAGCUGUUAGCGUACAGGAGAAUGGGUUUUUGCGAUGUUUACGAAAUAGAAGGCCCCCCCAAAAAAAAAAAAAAUCUACUAUGG